rnacentral:tRNA from 1 species
AAAGGGAGACCUAAUUCAGGUAUGGGACGAAAAAAAAGUAGUCGCUACCAAGAAUCAAUCCCAAAAGGUCGAAGCGAGGUAUGAGGCUUUCAAACUAGGUUCUGGGUUCAAACAAGACCUGAAUCAGGAACAAGGGCUAUUAGCUCAGGUGGUUAGAGCGCACCCCUGAUAAGGGUGAGGUCCCUGGUUCGAGUCCAGGAUGGCCCACCUGCACAGGUGGCAAAAAAAAGAAAAGAAGCGAGGAAUCAGCACCUUAUCUUAUCUAUAUAUAAGAGAGAAUGCUGGCUCUGAGUACAGAGUCCAGAGGAACCUUGAAAACUGCAUAGAGCUAGGUGAAAAAGCCAAAAAAGAAGACCGCAAG